rnacentral:lncRNA from 1 species
GCAUCAUCAUCCAGGGUGCCAUCCAAUGGUCCAGAAGCAAGAUGCCAUCACCGAUGGUCCAGAUUCAGGCGCUGAGCAAUGGUUCUGAUCUUUCAUCUAGAGAACUAUCCAGUGGUCCAGAUUCUGGCGCUGAGCAACGGUCCAGAUCUUUCAUCCAGAGAGCCAUCCAGUGGUCCAGAUUCAGGCGCUGAACAAUGGUCCA